CCCCACGAGAAGGAAUAGUCUUCA
rnacentral:piRNA from 1 species